UAACGAAUAUUGGGCAAUGGGCGAAAGCCUGACCCAGCAAUGCCGCGUGCAGGACGAAGUCCUUCGGGAUGUAAACUGCUGUCAGGGGUCCGCAAGCGAAGGGGUCCAACAGGCCCUGGAGUUGAGCAGCCCCAGAGGAAGCCUCGACUAACUCUGUGCCAGCAGUCGCGGUAAGACAGAGGAGGCAAGCGUUGUUCGGAAUCACUGGGCUUAAAGCGCGUGUAGGCGGCUUAGAAAGUGUCGUGUGAAAUCCCGCGGCUCAACCGCGGAACUGCACGGCAAACUACUUGGCUUGGGGUCGGUAGAGGUGCCUGGAACUCUAGGUGGAGCGGUGAAAUGCUUAGAUAUCACGAAGAACCCCGAUUGCGAAGGCAGCUUGCUAAACUGUAACUGACGUUCAUGCUCGAAAGUGUGGGUAUCAAACA
rnacentral:rRNA from 1 species